rnacentral:rRNA from 1 species
GAUGAACGCUGGCGGCGUGCCUAAUACAUGCAAGUCGAGCGAACAGACGAGGAGCUUGCUCCUCUGACGUUAGCGGCGGACGGGUGAGUAACACGUGGAUAACCUACCUAUAAGACUGGGAUAACCUCGGGAAACCGGAGCUAAUACCGGAUAAUAUAUUGAACCGCAUGGUUCAAUAGUGAAAGACGGUUUUGCUGUCACUUAUAGAUGGAUCCGCGCCGCAUUAGCUAGUUGGUAAGGUAACGGCUUACCAAGGCAACGAUGCGUAGCCGACCUGAGAGGGUGAUCGGCCACACUGGAACUGGGACACGGUCCAGACUCCUGCGGGAGGCAGCAGUAGGGAAUCUUCCGCAAUGGGCGAAAGCUUGACGGAGCAACGCCGCGUGAGUUAUGAAGGUCUUAGGAUAGUAAAGCUAUGUUAUUAGGGAAGAACAAAUGUGUAAGUAACUAUGCACGUCUUGACGGUACCUAAUCAGAAAGCCACGGCUAACUACGUG